UGAUAAAAAGAUUGUACCACUGGUUCACAUUUUUGUACCGAAACGAUUGGGGACUCUACUUUAUUUUUUCUCAAGUUGAUUUUCAUGUUCAUCUACCUAAACAAAGUGUUUGUGCUAAUCUUAUGAGUUUUUAUUGGUUUAUUGUGACUGAAUGGUGCAAUCUGGAAUAUUCUGGAUAUUCAGAUUUUUUUGAUAAUCGCGAAAUUCAUGAGUAACAUCGGGAUCAACAGAGCAAAACAAUAUACUUGUAGAACUUUGGAUUUAGGAGCAAAACCAUCUCAUCUACAUAGACUUCGUUGCCAGAGUACAAAACUAUUACCAGCAAGUUUACAACAAGCACUAAGCGUCAGAUGUGUAGAAAAAUAAAAUACAAAAAUAAAACGGAUUUUAUAUUUUUGUUGAAAUGACCUCGACAUUUGGAUAUUAAGCAAAAGCUGGACUUUGAAAAUUUUACAAUAAAAAAUUGGAAUCAAUGAAAGUCUCCAGAGGGUUUUCAAAAUGAAUUUACUUAAAUACAUGUUGUUAACACAAUUAUUAAACUUUUAUGGAAAUACGAUGACAGUAACCAUCGUUACAGCAGCUACCAUAACUACACAAAAUGUAAUAACAAAGCAAACAAAUUAUGUUAUAAAUAGUAACACAGAGUUAUAUUCAAAAUCAGAAAACAACAUUGAAUCUGUUAAUAACCCUAGUCCUAAAAAUAAUAUAGCAGACACAACAAUUACAACACCUGUGAAAACGACGAUACCUACAACAACUACCACAACUACAACAACUACCACUCCUACUACACCUACCACGAC